rnacentral:rRNA from 1 species
AUUGAACGCUGGCGGCAGGCCUAACACAUGCAAGUCGGGCGUGCGGCGGACGGGCGAGUAAUGUAUGGGGAUCUGCCUGAUGGAGGGGGAUAACUACUGGAAACUGUAGCUAAUACCGCAUACCAUCAGAUGAACCCAUAUGGGAUUAGCUUGUGUGUAAGGUAACGGCUUACCUAGGCGACGAUCCCUAGCUGGUCUGAGAGGAUGAUGAGCCGAACUGGAACUGAGAGACAGCGCAGACGACUAGGGUAGGCAGCAGUGGGGAAGAUUGCAAAAGGGGCGCAAGCCUGAUGCAGCGGUGCCGCGUGGAUGAAGAAGGGCUGCGGGUAGUAAAGGACUUUAAGUCGGGAGGCGUGACCGACAGAAGAAGCACCGGCUAACUCCGUGCCAGCAGCCGCGGUAAUAC